rnacentral:lncRNA from 7 species
UGACGUUACUGCUGUUGAAUUAUGAUCGCUAUGCCUCACAGACAAAAUGAAACAAUGGAUGAACAGAGAAAUCAUAGAAUCAUAGAAUCACUAAGGUUGGAAAAGACCCACAGGAUCAUCCAGUCCAACCAUCCACCCUUCAUCAAAAUCAUAUAGACCAGCUGCAGCUGCUACCACUGUCCUCUCCAGCUGGUUGACACGAAAAUACAUCUGUGUGAGAAUGGAGGCCAUAGGUGGAGAGAAUGAAAAAGGAAGAAAUAUCAUCAUAGGAAUGCCAAGGUGGUUGUUUUCAUCAAGGAGAUUAACUUGAGCCAUGUUGGAAGCAGUCUGGUAGACAUUAAUGUGCAAUGUUACCAACAGCAUUUGAUGAGUAUGAGUAAAAAUGUAAACAGUUAAAUUUUACUUUACACUGUUCAGCAGUUUCUGGCACUUUGUAAUGGCUGUUUAAGGCUUCUGGGAGGGCAUAUAUAGAGGCUAACCUUUAAGUAAGCUCUUACAGCUCCCUAUAGACAGUGGAAGAGUCCAAGAAUCUUUGAAUAAUACUUGUAAAUGCCACCGGAUACACAGGGUCAUGAGAUUUCCUUUGCAAACAUCUAUAUUAGGUCUAAAUUAGAUGUGAAUCACCUCUCUUGGUUGCACUAAUUUGCAUUAUUUUUUGACAGAGGGAGAUACUGAUAAGUCAGCACAAAAAAUUGUCUUCUGUUUGUUACUUUACUUGAGUAUAGGGAUGUUAGGAUGUGAUAGAACCCCAGGGAGCAGCAGCAUAAUGCUGUGUCAAGGGAGGGUCAGCUGGAGUGUGAGGAAAAGGUUCUUGGGCAGUGGGCUGUGGGUAUGGAUCAGGCUCCCCAGGGCAGUGGGCAUGACCCCAAGCUGCCAGAGUUCAAGCAGCAUUUGGACAAUGCUCUCCAGCCAUAUGGAAUAUUCACUGCGCUCUCAUGAAAGUCACUGAACAGUAUAUGACAGCAAAGUCUGAUGAAAACAAGCUAUGAGUACUGGUAUGACUGUGUCAUGCUGCAUCUUUCACAGUGUCCUCACAGUACAUGAGCCUGGAAAACCUGUGCCUGAUAUAAUAACACAGACAUUAAUGUCGCAGGGUGGCAAAGGAAACACGAGAUGCAGCCGUCCACACCACGCAGGAAGAUUUUGAAUGAUCAACUUCUCUGUCACAUGUCAUUUUGUUGAUUACGAACAUUGUACUAAUAUCCUUCAGAGCUUUAAGGUGUCUGUUGAGUGUCUUUGUUAUGCUCCUACAGAGGGGGAACUGCUAAUCUGAGAAGGACAUAUUAUACCUGGUUUAUUUUAUAGAGUACACUGAAAAGCAGCUUAUGUCUUUGCAGAAUAAAAUCCCAAUUUAAAU